rnacentral:rRNA from 1 species
UACGGAGGAUCCAAGCGUUAUCCGGAAUUAUUGGGUUUAAAGGGUCCGCAGGCUGUUUGUUAAGUCAGAGGUGAAAUCCUACCGCUCAACGGUAGAACUGCCUUUGAUACUGGCAAACUUGAGUUAUUGUGAAGUAGUUAGAAUGUGUAGUGUAGCGGUGAAAUGCAUAGAUAUUACACAGAAUACCGAUUGCGAAAGCAGAUUACUAACAAUAUACUGACGCUGAGGGACGAAAGCGUGGGUAGCGAACAGG